rnacentral:rRNA from 1 species
GUGCCAGCCGCCGCGGUAAUACGAAGGUCCCGAGCGUUGUUCGGAAUCACUGGGCGUAAAGGGAGCGUAGGCGGCGCGGUAAGUCAGAUGUGAAAUCCCGGGGCUCAACCCCGGAACUGCAUCCGAUACUGCCGUGCUAGAGGAUUGGAGAGGUAGCUGGAAUUCUUGGUGUAGCAGUGAAAUGCGUGGAGAUCAAGAGGAACACUCGUGGCGAAAGCGAGCUACUGGACAAUAUCUGACGCUGAGCUCGAAGGCCAGGGUAGCGAAAGGGAUUAGAUACCCCUGUAGUCCUGGCAGUAAACGGUGUGCGCUU